rnacentral:rRNA from 1 species
GUCCACGCCCUAAACGAUGGCAACUAGGUGUUGGGGAAGCGAUUUCCUGGUACCACAGCUAACGCGUGAAGUUGCCCGCCUGGGGAGUACGGUCGCAAGAUUAAAACUCAAAGGAAUUGACGGGGACCCGCACAAGCGGUGAUGAUGUGGAUUAAUUCGAUGCAACGCGAAUAACCUUACCUACCCUUGACAUGUACGGAACCCUGCAGAGAUGUGGGGGUGCUUGAAAGAGAGCCGUAACACAGGUGCUGCAUGGCUGUCGU